UGAAGGUAAUAUAUUUAGAUUUAUGUGAUGUGUUAAAAAAAGUGGAGUUAGCCUAUGAUUAAAGGGGUGAAGAGGUGGAGGUAGGUUUAGAGUGACAGCUCGUCACGCAGGGAGUGGUUUGUCCGCUUUUAAAAGACGUUGUAACAGUCUAUCUGACCUCUAUUCCCUGACGUCUUUAGCUAGCAUUUGUUAGCUAGCUUGUCCGAUCGUUUUUCCUUCAUCCUUCUCAACCAGACCAACGGUGUAUUUUUCUUUUCUAACUCGUUUGGUGGAGAAAAGCAAGAGGAAGACAUCUUACAGUCAUGUCUACAAAGGCUAGUCUGCAUCAAUAGGGCCUUCUACGAAGAUUAGGUGUCAUGCUUCUUGGAGCUCUGACGAUGAUUUUCAACAAGGGAGACCAGUAUUACAGAAUAUAAGUCAACUCUUAAAUCAGUCCACCGGUGUAAUAAGAAAAAGAAGUCGAUCUGAACGCUCUAAGAAAGCUGAAAGAGGGUCGUCUCUACCUCUACAAAAGCGGCAAUGUGGUGCAGGGGUUUUGAUAAACCCAGGCUUUGAAAACCGAAGACUCCGUCAUCCCUGUGAGUCACAGCAGCUAUUUGGGAGCAACGAUAUACCCAUGCCAUCUCGCGUUCGCAGAAUAAGGAAGACCACUAUUGGGGAGCCUCAGGUGCUUCUCCCGCUCAAACCUGCAUGCUUGACCGUUGCAUUGGAUGAGGCCGCUUCUACUGGGAUAGCCGUGGUCC